rnacentral:rRNA from 1 species
CAUGCAAGUCGAACGAACCUUCGGGUUAGUGGCGGACGGGUGAGUAACGCGUGGGAAUCUGCCCUCAGGAGGGGGAUAACGGUUGGAAACGACCGCUAAUACCCCAUAUGCCGAGAGGUGAAAUGAAUUUCGCCUGAGGAUGAGCCCGCGUCUGAUUAGCUUGUUGGUGAGGUAAUGGCUCACCAAGGCUUCGAUCAGUAGCUGGUCUGAGAGGAUGAUCAGCCACACUGGGACUGAGACACGGCCCAGACUCCUACGGGAGGCAGCAGUGGGGAAUUUUCCGCAAUGGGCGAAAGCCUGACGGAGCAACGCCGCGUGAGGGACGAAGGCCUCUGGGCUGUAAACCUCUUUUCUCAAGGAAGAAGAUAUGACGGUACUUGAGGAAUAAGCCACGGCUAAUUCCGUGCCAGCAGCCGCGGUAAUACGGGAGUGGCAAGCGUUAUCCGGAAUUAUUGGGCGUAAAGCGUCCGCAGGCGGCCUUUCAAGUCUGCUGUUAAAGCGUGGAGCUUAACUCCAUCAUGGCAGUGGAAACUGAUAGGCUUGAGUAUGGUAGGGGCAGAGGGAAUUCCCGGUGUAGCGGUGAAAUGCGUAGAUAUCGGGAAGAACACCAGUGGCGAAGGCGCUCUGCUGGGCCAUAACUGACGCUCAUGGACGAAAGCCAGGGGAGCGAAAGGGAUUAGAUACCCCUGUAGUCCUGGCCGUAAACGAUGAACACUAGGUGUCGGGGGAAUCGACCCCUUCGGUGUCGUAGCUAACGCGUUAAGUGUUCCGCCU